UACGUAGGGUGCAAGCGUUAAUCGGAAUUACUGGGCGUAAAGCGUGCGCAGGCGGUUUUGUAAGCCAGAUGUGAAAUCCCCGGGCUUAACCUGGGAAUGGCAUUUGGGACUGCAAGGCUCGAGUGCGGCAGAGGAGACUGGAAUUCCUGGUGUAGCAGUGAAAUGCGUAGAUAUCAGGAGGAACACCGGUGGCGAAGGCGGCCAUCUGGACGGAUACUGACGCUGAGACGCGAAAGCGUGGGGAGCAAACAGG
rnacentral:rRNA from 1 species